UGUUGUAGAAUCACUGGUGAAUAAGGGGUGGGCAAGUUCUGGUGUCAGCCGCCGCGGUAAAACCAGCACCUCGAGUGGUCAGGAGGUUUAUUGGGCCUAAAGCAUCCGUAGCCGGUUGCAUAAGUUUUCGGUUAAAUCUAUGCGCUUAACGUAUAGGCCGCCGAAAAUACUGUGCAGCUAGGGAGUGGGAGAGGUACACGGUACUCGAUAGGAAGGGGUAAAAUCCUUUGAUCUAUUGAUGACCACCUGUGGCGAAGGCGGUGUACCAGAACACGUUCGACGGUGAGGGAUGAAAGCUGGGGGAGCAAACCGGAUUAGAUACCCGGGUAGUCCCAGCUGUAAACGAUGCAGACUCGGUGAUGCAUUGGCUUGUGGCCAAUGCAGUGCCGCAGGGAAGCCGUUAAGUCUGCCGCCUGGGAAGUACGUACGCAAGUAUGAAACUUAAAGGAAUUGGCGGGGGAGCACCACAAGGGGUGAAGCCUGCGGUUCAAUUGGAGUCAACGCCAGAAAUCUUACCUGGGGAGACAGCAGAAUGAAGGUCAAGCUGAAGACUUUACCAGACACGCUGAGAGGUGGUGCAUGGCCGUCGCCAGCUCGUGCCGUGAGAUGUCCUGUUAAGUCAGGUAACGAGCGAGACCCCUGCGUCUAGUUGCUACCAUUACUCUCUGGAGCAGUGGAGCGAAUUAGACGGACCGCCACAGUUAAUGUGGAGGAAGGAAGGGGCCACGGCAGGUCAGUAUGCCCCGAAACCCUAGGGCUACACGCGGGCUGCAAUGGUAUUGACAAUGUGUUCCGAAUCCGAAAGGAGGAGGCAAUCAUCAAACAAUAUCUCAGUUAUGACUGAGGGC
rnacentral:rRNA from 1 species